rnacentral:lncRNA from 7 species
GAGUCGCCGCCCCAUCCAUCCUCCUCGUCGAUCUGCUCUAGCCUCCAAUCCCGCUUGGGCAUCGGGCCCAGCCACCCUCGCGCUAGUGCUAGGCUGCUAACCAUAGCCAGUCCUUCCUCCUCUCGCGUGGCCGCGCCUGCAUCCGGCCACGGGCCACCGCGCACAGCCCUAGCCAGACACCGUGCACGACCCAGCCUAGCCGCAGCGGUGGAGGCGCGCAGCCCCACCCCGCCCCGCACGACCAAAUGAACAGCCGCAACCAGCGAGGCUAGGCCCGCAACAGCAACGCCCUUCGCUCGCCAGCAACGGCAGUGCGUCCGACAUCCUUCGCUCGCCUAGUUGCCCUGCAGAUGGCCAGGACCAGCACCACUGCGGUCUGCAGCAGCGCCCCUAACUGUUGAGGAUAAGAGGAGGUUGACAUGGGAUGACAAGUUGACAACCUGCUAAUUGCAAUGGUAUGAUUUCCUCUAUUAUAUUUUGAGCUGCUAGAAUUAAAAUGAUUGUAUGGAUUUGAGUUGUCGAUCUGCUAUAUUUUGGUCAUGUAAAACUACGCUUUGUGAUUAAUUAGCAAGUGUCAUCAAUGACAUUUACCGGAUGUUCAUUGGGAAUUUGGGUGAAAACCGUGAAACUGAUUCUACAUGAUGUGAUUAUUGUUUUAUUUUUCCUCUGCAUUUACUUUAGAGAACUUUAGCUGAAGCUCACUUAUUCCAUAGUCUUUGUGCUUGCUGUAAGUGUAAGGAAACAUGCCAUAUCACUUGUCACAUUUUCAGGGUUCAUUUUAGCACUCAUUUGCAUCACUAGUACAAACAGUCAAACGGUUAACCUUCACCAAGUAUGGUGAUUUCAGGCAUUUCCCUUAUGAGCAUGAACUUGUUUGAAGUAAUGAAGUUGCCAUUUACAGUUCAAUUCACUCUUCUUCAACUACCAGGAGGAUUGCUAGCAGAAUUGUUUGGCCGAAGGUUUGUUUAGGGUAACAAAUCAUCUUGAAUAUGCACAAAGUCAGAGUGUUUAUGCUUAUGAAAAUACUGAUAUAAUAUGUCAUCUGCUUAUGAAGUAGGAACUGCCAACUGGUAUAUGGUUCAUAAGCUGAACAUAUCCCUAUUUGUUUUAACCCCUUUACAAGAUGAAAAUACUUCAUAUUACAUAGAGGAUUGCAUGGAGGCACCUGGGGCCUUUGUCCUCCACCUCCUCAAGUGCGUGCUUGUCAGCGGUGGUGUGGCUGCGUUCCUCGCCCUUGUGCAUCUUUCUCCUAUUACGACCGCGUCCUGCGUAAUAUGGUAUGGCUAGCCUACUCUUCACCUCACUGGCAUUUCAUCGAACACGCUUUAUGCUUAUUGGCUUCAUGCCUGACUGUCUAUGUUAGUAUCACUCUACAAUAGCAUGCAUAUUGUGUGUCUCCUUAACUGCUGAGUGCAUUUUUUGUCCAUGCAUAAUGAUUAUGGUCAACUAGGCAUUAGAGAUUUAGAGUAGACCCAAAUUGGUAGGAUCAUAAUUGAUUCAGCUUCAAAAGAAUGGUAUUUCCAUGCUCUUGUUCAUAUGCUAUUUGUCACAUGUGUAAUUAGGCAUCGUACACCAACAUUUUGAAAUGUUAGAUUCUUGGUGUGUGAUGGGACGGUUUCAAGGCAUGAAGAUUAUAAAAUAAAUUUGCCCUGUUCUCUACCAUCUUGAGGUAUUCAUUAUGGUACUUUUCUAAUUUGUUAGCAUUUAAUAAUUGUUUGUUUGAAUGUUACUAUUACAUAUUCCCUUAGGUGAUCUUUAGAAGUUUAUAAUGGAUUUGCUGCUCGGUAGGCAACAUAUGUUUCUUCUGGAUUUGCUGCCAUCUUAUGAAUAAACAUCCAGUACUGUGUCGUUUUGAUGCUGACACACUUACCCUCAACCUCGCUUUAUACUCCUUACUACUAAUAUAUUAGAGGAUCUUAAAAAAUUACUGUUUUUAACCAGAUUAAUAAAUAUAGUACUUAUGUUUUAUCUCUUUUGACUAUCUACUUUUGUCUCCACUCCAAUAUACAUUGCACAUAUGCAUGCCAUGGUAAUAUACAUAAACAUGGUGUAUUCAUCACCUAUCCUCAUGUUCCAAGCUUACUUUUUUUUUAGAAAUUGUAUGUAUGUACUUUUACUAAUCAUUUGCUUGGCUUCUGCUAAUUUUUUAUAUCUUACUGUUGAUAGGAUACAAUGGAAGCACUUGCGGCCGAGCCUAGAAUAGAAGAAAAAGAAUCUAAGACCCGUAUAGAAGCAGUUGCUCAAGUAUUGGCUUCAUCAAAAUUUAUUCAAAUUGUUGGUCUUGUAGCUGCAAAAAAGAGAAGCAAUAAUGUUGGUGAUGUGACACGUGUACAAGCAGCAAUGUUGGUCUUGUAGCAUCAAGAUUUGGUUAUUGAUGAAUGAUAUCUAUGAUAAAUAUAUGUGAUGAUCAUUGAUUAUAGUU